CGCUAAGAAGCUAAUUUGGACCUAGCGUUAGCCUUUUAAGCUAAAGAUUGGUGCCUCCCGACCACCCUUAGCGA
rnacentral:tRNA from 1 species